GAUGAACGCUGGCGGCGUGCCUAAUACAUGCAAGUCGAGCGAACAGACGAGGAGCUUGCUCCUCUGACGUUAGCGGCGGACGGGUGAGUAACACGUGGAUAACCUACCUAUAAGACUGGGAUAACUUCGGGAAACCGGAGCUAAUACCGGAUAAUAUAUUGAACCGCAUGGUGCAAUAGUGAAAGACGGUGUUGCUGUAACUUAUAGAUGGAUCCGCGCCGCAUUAGCUAGUUGGUAAGGUAACGGCUUACCAAGGCAACGAUGCGUAGCCGACCUGAGAGGGUGAUCGGCCACACUGGAACUGGGACACGGUCCAUGCUCCUACGGGAGGCAGCAGUAGGGAAUCUUCCGCAAUGGGCGAAAGCCUGACGGAGCAACGCCGCGUGAGUGAUGACGGUCUUCGGAUCGUAAAACUCUGUUAUUAGGGAAGAACAAAUGUGUAAGUAACUAUGCACGUCUUGACGGUACCUAAUCAGAAAGCCACGGCUAACUACGUG
rnacentral:rRNA from 1 species